UACGGAGGAUCCAAGCGUUAUCCGGAAUCAUUGGGUUUAAAGGGUGCGUAGGUGGGUUUGUAAGUCAGCGGUGAAAUCUCCGAGCUUAACUCGGAAACUGCCAUUGAUACUAUAGAUCUUGAAUUUUCUGGAGGUAAGCGGAAUAUGUCAUGUAGCGGUGAAAUGCUUAGAUAUGACAUAGAACACCAAUUGCGAAGGCAGCUUGCUACAGGAAUAUUGACACUGAGGCACGAAAGCGUGGGGAUCAAACAGG
rnacentral:rRNA from 1 species